UGAUGUUGAUGGUUGGAUAUUAAAAUCAGUGAGCAAAAAAUAGAAGGAUUAUAAAUAUGAUCUUAAAGCAAAGAGUAAAAUUAAUGAACACACACAACAAGAAGUAUCUAAAAGUGUGCCUCCAGAAGUUGUACCGCAACAAUGGAUCGAUCUUGUUCGCUAUUGGUAUUCGGAGAAAAGCGAGAAAUAUUCAAAGAUCGGCACGGCAUCGCGUAAAAAUCAUACAACUCCUCACACGACUGGUUCUAAGAGUUUUGCAAGGAAGCGAGAUGAAUUUG